rnacentral:rRNA from 1 species
UACGUAGGGUGCGAGCGUUACUCGGAAUUACUGGGCGUAAAGCGUGCGCAGGCGGUUUUGUAAGACAGGUGUGAAAUCCCCGGGCUUAACCUGGGAACUGCGCUUGUGACUGCAAGACUCGAGUACGGCAGAGGGGGGUGGAAUUCCACGUGUAGCAGUGAAAUGCGUAGAGAUGUGGAGGAACACCGAUGGCGAAGGCAGCCCCCUGGGUCGAUACUGACGCUCAUGCACGAAAGCGUGGGGAGCAAACAGG